GGGUUGUGAGGUUAAGCGACUAAGCGUACACGGUGGAUGCCCUGGCAGUCAGAGGCGAUGAAGGGCGUGCUAAUCUGCGAUAAGCGCCGGUAAGGUGAUAUGAACCGUUAUAACCGGCGAUACCCGAAUGGGGAAACCCAGUGUGAUUCGUCACACUAUCAUUAACUGAAUCCAUAGGUUAAUGAGGCGAACCGGGGGAACUGAAACAUCUAAGUACCCCGAGGAAAAGAAAUCAACCGAGAUUCCCCCAGUAGCGGCGAGCGAACGGGGAGGAGCCCAGAGCCUGAAUCAGCAUGUGUGUUAGUGGAAGCGUCUGGAAAGGCGUGCGAUACAGGGUGACAGCCCCGUACACAAAAGCGCAUGUGCUGUGAGCUCGAUGAGUAGGGCGGGACACGUGGUAUCCUGUCUGAAUAUGGGGGGACCAUCCUCCAAGGCUAAAUACUCCUGACUGACCGAUAGUGAACCAGUACCGUGAGGGAAAGGCGAAAAGAACCCCGGCGAGGGGAGUGAAAAAGAACCUGAAACCGUGUACGUACAAGCAGUGGGAGCCCCACCACUAAGCCAGUGGUGAACUCCACAUACGCAUCCUUUGCUGAGGAUACGGUUAACGGAGCGAAAGCGACGUUCAACCUCAAAAGAAGCAGAGGGGGCUUAGUGGUGGGGUGACUGCGUACCUUUUGUAUAAUGGGUCAGCGACUUAUAUUCUGUAGCAAGGUUAACCGUAUAGGGGAGCCGAAGGGAAACCGAGUCUUAACCGGGCGUUAAGUUGCAGGGUAUAGACCCGAAACCCGGUGAUCUAGCCAUGGGCAGGUUGAAGGUUGGGUAACACUAACUGGAGGACCGAACCGACUAAUGUUGAAAAAUUAGCGGAUGACCUGUGGCUGGGGGUGAAAGGCCAAUCAAACCGGGAGAUAGCUGGUUCUCCCCGAAAGCUAUUUAGGUAGCGCCUCGUGAA
rnacentral:rRNA from 1 species